rnacentral:rRNA from 1 species
GCCUCCGCAAAGGGAACCCCCCGGUGGACGACAAGCUCCGGGACCUUUGGGGCGCCCAGNACAGGGGUAGCCGCCUGUUUCCCAAAAAACAAGAGCACGCGAAGGCGUAAGCCGCGGUAUUAGGCAACGGACGCCUGCCCCGUGGCCGGAAGGUUAAGAAGAUCCGUCAGCCCUUGGGGGGUAAACGGUGAAUUCAAGCCCCGGUAAACGCCGGUGGUAACUAUAACCAUCCUAAGGUAGCGAAAUUCCUGUCCGGGUAAGUUCCGACCUGCACGAAUGGCGUAACGACUUCCCCGCUGUCUCGACCAGGAGCUCGGCGAAAUUGCAGUACGAGUAAAGAUGCUCGUUAAGCGCAGAAGGACGAAAAGACCCCGGGACCUUUACUAUACCUUGGUAUAGGCGUCAGUCGCGGAUUGUGUAGCAUAGGCGGGAGGCUUCGAGGCGCGGGCGCCAGCCCGCGCGGAGCCGCAAGGUGAAAUACCGCUCCGUUCUCGUUAGACGUCUCACCUCGAACGGUCAUCCUGUUCAGGGACAGUGCCUGGCGGGUAGUUUAACUGGGGCGGUUGCCUCCCAAAGAGUAACGGAGGCGCUCAAAGGUCCGCUCAGCCCGGUUGGCAAUCGGGUGUCGAGAGCAAUCGCACAAGCGGGCUAGACUGCGAGGACGGCGGUCCGAGCAGGGACGAAAGUCGGAGAUAGUGAUCCGGUGCCGGCGCACGGGCGCGGCAUCGCUCAACGGAUAAAAGGUACCCCGGGGAUAACAGGCUGAUCAUUCCCAAGAGUCCAUAUCGACGGGAUGGUUUGGCACCUCGACGUCGGCUCGUCGCAUCCUGGGGCUGGAGCAGGUCCCAAGGGUUCGGCUGUUCGCCGAUUAAAGCGGCACGCGAGCUGGGUUCAGAACGUCGUGAGACAGUUUGGUCUCUAUCCUCUGCGCUCGUUGGAAUCCUGGGGAGGCCUGCCCAUAGUACGAGAGGACCUGGGUGGACGAACCUCUGGUAUGCCGGUUGUCGCGCCAGCGGCACGGCCGGUGGGCUACGUUCGGGAGGGAUAACCGCUGAAAGCAUCUAAGCGGGAAGCCUGCUCCGAGAUUAGGAUUCCUUACGGUCUUGAACCGUUGAAGCCCGCAUGUGGACACGU